UACGUAGGGUGCGAGCGUUGUCCGGAAUUAUUGGGCGUAAAGAGCUCGUAGGCGGCUUGUCGCGUCGGAUGUGAAAGCCCGGGGCUUAACUCCGGGUCUGCAUUCGAUACGGGCAGGCUAGAGUUCGGUAGGGGAGAUCGGAAUUCCUGGUGUAGCGGUGAAAUGCGCAGAUAUCAGGAGGAACACCGGUGGCGAAGGCGGGUCUCUGGGCCGAUAUUGACGCUGAGGAGCGAAAGCGUGGGGAGCGAACAGG
rnacentral:rRNA from 1 species